UGGGGAAUAUUGCACAAUGGGCGCAAGCCUGAUGCAGCCAUGCCGCGUGUGUGAAGAAGGCAUUCGGGUUGUAAAGCACUUUCAGCGAGGAGGAAGGGUAGUGUGUUAAUAGAACAUUGCAUUGACGUUACUCGCAGAAGAAGCACCGGCUAACUCCGUGCCAGCAGCCGCGGUAAUACGGAGGGUGCAAGCGUUAAUCGGAAUUACUGGGCGUAAAGCGCACGCAGGCGGUUUGUUAAGUCAGAUGUGAAAUCCCCGCGCUUAACGUGGGAACUGCAUUUGAAACUGGCAAGCUAGAGUCUUGUAGAGGGGGGUAGAAUUCCAGGUGUAGCGGUGAAAUGCGUAGAGAUCUGGAGGAAUACCGGUGGCGAAGGCGGCCCCCUGGACAAAGACUGACGCUCAGGUGCGAAAGCGUGGGGAGCAAACA
rnacentral:rRNA from 1 species